AGCCAGGCCAGCGGCCGCCGAGGGUGCCCGCCCAGGCUACCCGCCCUCCCGGCCGCGGCGCGGACGGACCGACGGACGGCGCUGCGAGCAGGAGGCGUCCGGCCAUGUUCAGCCGGAGCUCCCGGAAAAGACUCUCCAGCCGCUCGGUGAGUGUCCCCCGCUCGAGCGGGGCCGAUCGCCGGGCACCUCCAGCCGGCCGCGAGCGCCCGCGCGCAGCCCCACUGCGCCCCGCGGCUGCGCACCUGUGGCCCCAGUUGACCGGACUGGGGCGGAUAGAGCGAGGCCAGCCAUGUAACGCCUGUGGUGACCAGUGCCCUGGGUUCGCCUUGCAUAAAUGGAGG
rnacentral:lncRNA from 1 species